rnacentral:rRNA from 1 species
GAUAUGAACUCUCCGAAAAAAUUACGCUGUUAUCCCUAAGGUAAGUUAAUCUUAUAAUCAAAAAUUCUGGAUCAAAAAAACAUAAAUUAAUGAAAAUUAAUAUUAAAAGUUAAAUAAAUUUUAAUGUCACCCCAACAAAACUAUAUAUUCUAAAAUAAUAUUUAAUUAACAAAAAAUAAAAAUUUAUAAAUAAAGUAAACUUCUAUAGGGUCUUCUCGUCCUAUAAAAAAAUUUUAGCUUUUUAACUAAAAAAUUAAAUUCAAAAUAAUUAAAAAAAGAAAGAUUAUUUUUCAUCAAACCAUUCAUACUAGCCUUCAAUUAAAAGACAAAUGAUUAUGCUACCUUCGUACAGUUAAAAUACCGCAGCCUUUUAAUUCAUAAAAAUCAAUGGGCAGGUCUGAUCUUAAAUUAAAAUCAAAAGACC